AUCUGAUAUUGGGGACAUCUAAUACACAAUUUGUUGAACCACUCCCAAUAUUCAAAUAAGGUCUCCCUUAGCUACUGUUUAAUGUCACAUAUCUCUUUUCUCAAGUU